ACCGCAGAAGCCCAGUUGGUUAGGGCGUCGGCAGUACAGGUCGAAGGUUGCAGGUUCAAAUCCUGCCUGCGGUG